rnacentral:rRNA from 1 species
CGGACGUGAGGAACCUGCCUUUCAGAGGGGGACAACAGCUGGAAACGACUGUUAAUACCGCAUGACACAUAGAGAUCGCAUGGUUUUUAUGUCAAAGAUUUAUCGCUGAAAGAUGGCCUCGCGUCUGAUUAGCUAGUUGGUGAGGUAACGGCCCACCAAGGCGACGAUCAGUAGCCGGACUGAGAGGUUGACCGGCCACAUUGGGACUGAGAUACGGCCCAG